rnacentral:rRNA from 1 species
AAAUGAAUAGACGGGACCCCGCACAAGCGGUGGAUCAUGUUGUUUAAUUCGAAGAUACGCGAAGAACCUUACCAGGCCUUGACAUCUUCUGCAAAACUUAAGAGAUUAAGUGGAGGUUAACAGAAUGACAGGUGGUGCAUGGUUGUCGUCAGCUCGUGUCGUGAGAUGUUGGGUUAAGUCCCGUAACGAGCGCAACCCCUGUUGCUAGUUGCCAUCAUUAAGUUGGGGACUCUAGCGAGACUGCCAGUGACAAACUGGAGGAAGGUGGGGAUGACGUCAAAUCAUCAUGCCCUUUAUGGCCUGGGCUACAAACGUGAUACAAUGGCUGGAACAAAGAGAAGCAAGAGCGCGAGCUUAAGCGGACCUCAUAAAAACAGUCUCAGUUCGGAUUGGAGUCUGCAACUCGACUCCAUGAAGCCGGAAUCGCUAGUAAUCGCAGAUCAGCAUGCUGCGGUGAAUACGUUCUCGGGGUUUGUACACACCGCCCGU